rnacentral:rRNA from 1 species
AUUGAACGCUGGCGGCAUGCCUUACACAUGCAAGUCGAAUGGCAGCACGGGAGCAAUCCUGGUGGCGAGUGGCGAACGGGUGAGUAAUGUAUCGGAACGUGCCCAGUCGUGGGGGAUAACGUAGCGAAAGCUACGCUAAUACCGCAUACGAUCUAUGGAUGAAAGCGGGGGAUCGCAAGACCUCGCGCGAUUGGAGCGGCCGAUAUCAGAUUAGGUAGUUGGUGGGGUAAAGGCUCACCAAGCCGACGAUCUGUAGCUGGUCUGAGAGGACGACCAGCCACACUGGGACUGAGACACGGCCCAGACUCCUACGGGAGGCAGCAGUGGGGAAUUUUGGACAAUGGGCGCAAGCCUGAUCCAGCAAUGCCGCGUGCAGGAUGAAGGCCUUCGGGUUGUAAACUGCUUUUGUACGGAGCGAAAAGGCUCUCUCUAAUACAGGGGGCUCAUGACGGUACCGUAAGAAUAAGCACCGGCUAACUACGUGCCAGCAGCCGCGGUAACAC